UUGCCAAUGGUCCUAUUUUGAACUUCGAAGGCCCAUAUCUCGAUUUCGGAGGCUUACUUUGAAAAACGGAGAAGUUACUUUUUUAUUUAUGACUUAAUCUCUAAAAAAAAUUUUUUAUAUUCCUUCUUAACAUAACACUGUGGAAGAAAU